GGCCGCCUGGCGUAAUGGCAACGCGUCUGACUACGAUGUCGCAGGUGGUGAACCUGCAAGACGCGGAUGAUCAGGAGAUUGCAGGUUCGACCCCUGCGGUGGUCA
rnacentral:tRNA from 2 species